GUAACCUACAAGCCGGUCGGACGAUCAUUCCAAACGGACCAAAACAUUUUUUCGGAGAAGUUGACGUGGAGGUGUCUGUCAACGAUGACUGAUAUUAAAGCAGAAAUCUCCGCUGACAGCUCCGCUGCAAUUCAGAGUCCAAAUGCGCCCUCUCAACCCAACAACCCACUGUCAAGGAAGCUCAACAAAAUCCUGGAGACGAGGCUGGACAAUGACAAGGAGAUGCUGGAGGCUCUGAAGGCUCUGUCCGUGUUCUUCACCGAAAACAGUUUGCGCACCAGGAGAAACCUUCGCGGUGACAUCGAGAGACGGAGCCUGACGAUCAACGAGGAGUUCGCACGGAUAUUUAAAGAUGUGAAAGAGGAACUCGAAAGUGUCCAUGAGGACGUCCAGGCUAUGAGCACAUGUUGUGACGAGAUGACCAACAGAUUGAAGGCUGCAAAGGACCAAACUCAAGACCUCAUCGUAAAAACCAACAAGCUGCAGGGAGAAAAUCACCGCCUGGAGGUCAGAGCUCAGGUCGCUCAGGCUUUUCUCGUCAAGUUCCAACUGUCUCACGAGGAGAUGGCCACACUGCGAGGGGCUCGGGAUGCAGCCAUCACUGAGAAUUUUUUCAAAGCCCUCAGCCGAGUGAAGCACAUCCAUGAGGAUGUGAAAAUCCUGUUGCGGACCAACCAGCAAACUGCAGGGCUAGAGAUCAUGGAGCAGAUGGCGGUGUUACAGGAGACAUCGUAUGAGCAGCUCUACCGCUGGGCUCAGAAUGAAUGCAGGGGACUGACCCAGGAGUCUUGUGACAUUAGCCCUGUGCUGACUCAAGCCAUGGAGGCCUUACAGGACCGGCCUGUCCUUUACAAGUACACUCUGGAUGAGUUUGGGACCGCGCGCAGGUGUGCGGUGGUACGAGGCUUCAUUGACGCCCUCACGCGCGGUGGGCACGGAGGAACUCCCCGCCCCAUAGAGAUGCAUUCACAUGACCCCAUGAGGUAUGUUGGCGAUAUGCUGGCCUGGCUGCACCAAGCUACUGCUUCAGAGAAAGAGCAUCUAGAUGCUCUGCUGAAGCAAGUCACCCUGCAAGUCGUGGAAGAGAACAUGCAGGAGGUGGUUGGACACAUCACUGAGGGCGUCUGCAGGCCGCUGAAAGUUCGGAUAGAGCAGGUCAUUGUCGCUGAGCCAGGGGCCGUGCUGCUCUAUAAACUUUCCAACCUGCUUAAGUUCUACCACCACACCAUCAGCUCUAUAAUUGGGACCAGCGUGGCCUCGUUGCUCAUCACUAUUGAGGAAAUGCACAUCCUCAGCAAAAAGAUGUUUUUCAACAGCCUGAGCCUUCACGCGAGCAGACUCAUGGACAAGGUGGAGCUGCCUCCUGCAGACCUGGGGCCGACGGCCUCCCUCACUCAGACGCUGUCCCUCCUCAGGGAGGUGCUGGCCUCCCACGACUCCUCAGUGGUUCCUCUGAACGCCCGUCAGGCUGACUUUGCUCAGGUUCUCUCUUGCAUCUUGGAUCCUCUCCUCCAGUUGUGCACCGUGUCAGCCAGUAACCUGGGCACCGCCGACAUGGCUACCUACAUGGUCAACUCGCUGUACGUCAUGAAGACGACGCUGUCUCUCUUUGAGUUUACUGACAAGAGACUCGAGAUGCUUGAGUUUCAGAUCGAGGCUCACCUCGACACUCUGAUCAACGAGCAGGCAUCCUACGUGCUGACCCGGGCCGGACUGAGCUACAUCUACAGCUGUGUCCAGCAGCACAGUGCUGAACAGGGUCCUCUGUCCCUCCUCCCCAGUAUGGACAGCUCUUCUGUGAAAGCAGCAAUGGUCCAGUUCGAUCGCUACUUGUCGUCGCCGGACACUCUCGUGAUGCCACAGCUCAACUUCCUGCUCAGUGCGGCCAUCAAGGAGCAGAUCUUCCGUCAGUCAACAGAGCUGGUGUGCAGGGCCUAUGGGGAGGUUUACGCAGCACUGACCAGCCCAGCGAAUGCCUACAAAGACCCAGAGAACCUGUUGCCCAGAUCCCCUCAGCAGGUCCAGACUCUGCUGUCCUGAAGGACGCUGUGGUCGCACCUUGUUGAUGUCGAAAAAGCAGCGGGCGAGCCCCGGCACCGGACGGCCCGCAGGAUCCCCACGUUCUCCAUCAGCACACGACCGAAUCCCUGAACCCCCCGGAGACAGACGGGCCUAUUCACACCAGCAGAAUCUGGAGAACAAGAACAUGCAACAAAUUCACCAUGACUAAUUCCCCUGUGAGUAAUCCAACAUGCUGUCAAUCAUUACUCACACAUAGGGAUCACUAGUCUCCGCUCUCAUUGGUCCGAAUGCAGCCGCGCUUUUGCGCUUCUUCAAAGCAAAGUCCUGUGACUCCCACCCUGAGGCGAAAGAACAGGGCCAUUGUGUGUGUGUGCGUGCGUGCGUGCGUGCGUGCGCGUGUGUGUGUGUGUGUGCGUGCGUGCGUGCGUGCGUGUAGGAGGAGAGAGGGAAAAAGGCAGAGAUUAUAUGGACAAGGGGUAGUUCUUGUCACCGGGGUCAAGGCCAAAAAACUCGGUCAACCCACUUUCAUGUGUCCCUGCUCAGGGGCGGUAAACAAACACGACUGUGAGCAAAAGCUAUGGCUGCGUUACACACGGCUGUGUUUGUGUGUGUGUGUUUGUGUGUGUGUGUGUGUGUGUG